GUGAAUCAUCAAAUCUUUGAACGCAAAUUGCACUUUCUGGUAUUCCGGAAAGUAUGCCUGUUUGAGGGUCAGGUGAAUAAAAAUCGGUGUUGUUGCUGCUUUUCGUGGUGACGCGUCGGAAUUGAGUUGUCAUACCUUCGGUUAAGUGACUUAAAAUUUUGCAUGAUUUUCGAACGUAUUUAAAUCGCUUACGUACGUUUGAGAUAUCGAAUGCUUAUUAGGUUCGGUCAUUCCCAUGAUUCUGGCCUAUAAUUUUUCAUUAAAUUAACUCAAAUCCGGUA
rnacentral:misc_RNA from 1 species